rnacentral:rRNA from 1 species
CUCCUAAAUGUUCUGGGCCGCACGCGCACUACACUGACUCAGCCAACGAGCUUCUGCUUUCGCAGCCUGGCCCGAAGGGGUCGGGGAAUCUUUUGAGCCUGAGUCGUGAUGGGGAUUGAUGCUUGCAAUUGUUCUCCAUGAACGAGGAAUGUCUUGUAGGCGCGUUUCAUCAGAACGCACCGAAUACGUCCCUGGUUCUUGUACACACCGCCCGUCGUUGCCUGUAAUGGGUUGCGAGUAGAGCCAUUUGGAGAGUAGCUGUGCGGGCAACCGUGCAGCGGCUCAAAAUUUGGCAAUACUUACAAUCUAGAAGAGGCAAAAGUCGUAACA